GAUGAACGCUGGCGGCGUGCCUAAUACAUGCAAGUCGAGCGAACAGAUGAGGAGCUUGCUCCUCUGACGUUAGCGGCGGACGGGUGAGUAACACGUGGAUAACCUACCUAUAAGACUGGGAUAACUUCGGGAAACCGGAGCUAAUACCGGAUAAUAUAUUGAACCGCAUGGUUCAAUAGUGAAAGACGGUUUUGCUGUCACUUAUAGAUGGAUCCGCGCCGCAUUAGCUAGUUGGUAAGGUAACGGCUUACCAAGGCAACGAUGCGUAGCCGACCUGAGAGGGUGAUCGGCCACACUGGAACUGAGACACGGUCCAGACUCCUACGGGAGGCAGCAGUAGGGAAUCUUCCGCAAAGGGCGAAAGCUUGACGGAGCAACGCCGCGUGAGUGACGAAGGUCUUCGGAUCGUAAAACUCUGUUAUUAGGGAAGAACAAAUGUGUAAGUAACUAUGCACGUCUUGACGGUACCUAAUCAGAAAGCCACGGCUAACUACGUG
rnacentral:rRNA from 1 species